GAUUAGAACAGGAUGAAUGAAAUAGAUUGGUGUGCGAUGGUUGUGCUAUGUUACCGUAGGAUUCCUAACAAAGUUAAAGGUAAAUUCUAUAGAACUGUGAUCAAGCUAGCAAUGUUGUAUAAGAGUGAAUGUUUGGCAUCUAAGGUACAAUAUACUUGCAAGAUGAGUGUGGCGGAAAUGCAAUUCUUGAGAUGGAUGUUUGGUAGUACGAUAAUGGAUAAGAUUACGAAU
rnacentral:misc_RNA from 1 species